rfam:Oryza nivara chromosome 8, whole genome shotgun sequence.
UUUAAAUGUAGCUAUGAGUUUUUCGGUCUAAUUUUAAUUAUUCGUCUUAUCUAAUAUUUUUAUAAUAAUUAUUAUUUUAUUAUUAAUAAAAAAUAAAGUCAUUUAUAUGUGACUUAUAUUUUUUAAAAAAAAAUUCAAAUUUUAAAUAAAACGAACAAUUAAAAUUAGACAUGUAAACUCAUGGCUAUAUUUAAA